rnacentral:rRNA from 1 species
AGAGUUUGAUCCUGGCUCAGGAUGAACGCUAGCGAUAGGCUUAACACAUGCAAGUCGAGGGGCAGCAUGGUCUUAGCUUGCUAAGACUGAUGGCGACCGGCGCACGGGUGCGUAACGCGUAUGCAACUUGCCUCACAGAGGGGGAUAACCCGUCGAAAGACGGACUAAUACCGCGUACACUCCAGCUUGGGCAUCCAGGCUAGAGGAAAUGAAUUUCGCUGUGAGAUAGGCAUGCGUCCCAUUAGCUAGUUGGUGAGGUAACGGCUCACCAAGGCGACGAUGGGUAGGGGAACUGAGAGGUUGAACCCCCACACUGGUACUGAGACACGGACCAGACUCCUACGGGAGGCAGCAGUGAGGAAUAUUGGUCAAUGGGCGAGAGCCUGAACCAGCCAAGUCGCGUGAAGGAUGACUGUCUUAUGGAUUGUAAACUUCUUUUAUACGGGAAUAACAAGAGUCACGUGUGGCUCCCUGCAUGUACCGUAUGAAUAAGCAUCGGCUAACUCCGUGCCAGCAGCCGCGGUAAUACGGAGGAUGCGAGCGUUAUCCGGAUUUAUUGGGUUUAAAGGGUGCGUAGGCGGCCUGUUAAGUCAGCGGUGAAAUCUAGGAGCUUAACUCCUAAAUUGCCAUUGAUACUGGCGGGCUUGAGUGUAGAUGAGGUAGGCGGAAUGCGUGGUGUAGCGGUGGAAUGCAUAGAUAUCACGCAGAACUCCGAUUGCGAAGGCAGCUUACUAAGGUACAACUGACGCUGAAGCACGAAAGCGUGGGUAUCAAACAGGAUUAGAUACCCUGGUAGUCCACGCAGUAAACGAUGAUAACUGGGCGUAUGCGAUAUACAGUAUGCUCCUAAGCGAAAGCGUUAAGUUAUCCACCUGGGGAGUACGCCGGCAACGGUGAAACUCAAAGGAAUUGACGGGGGCCCG